AAAAGUUUAGUUAAAAUAUAACAUUAGCUUGUCAAGCUAAAAUCAUCAAUACUUGAUAAUUUUUA
rnacentral:tRNA from 1 species